rnacentral:tRNA from 1 species
UGGGGUGUAGCUCAGCAGCAGAGUACUUGCCUGGCAUGCAUGAAGUCCUGGGUUCAGUCCCCAGCAACACAA